GAUGAACGCUGGCGGCGUGCCUAAUACAUGCAAGUCGAGCGAACAGACGAGGAGCUUGCUCCUCUGACGUUAGCGGCGGACGGGUGAGUAACACGUGGAUAACCUACCUAUAAGACUGGGAUAACUUCGGGAAACCGGAGCUAAUACCGGAUAAUAUAUUGAACCGCAUGGUUCAAUAGUGAAAGACGGUUUUGCUGUCACUUAUAGAUGGAUCCGCGCCGCAUUAGCUAGUUGGUAAGGUAACGGCUUACCAAGGCAACGAUGCGUAGCCGACCUGAGAGGGUGAUAGGCCACCCUGGAACUGAGACACGGUCCAGACUCCUACGGGAGGCAGCAGUAGGGAAUCUUCCGCAGUGGGCGAAAGCCUGACGGAGCAACGCCGCGUGAGUGAUGAAGGUCUUCGGAUCGUAAAACUCUGUUAUUAGGGAAGAACAAAUGUGUAAGUAACUAUGCACGUCUUGACGGUACCUAAUCAGAAAGCCACGGCUAACUACGUG
rnacentral:rRNA from 1 species